AAAGCAAUCUGGAAACCAGGAAUGCGGUGCCCUCUGGAGACUUAAUCAACGAAAAUGUUACAUACGCUGUUCUUAACCUACAAACAAUGCCGAAGAGACAUUGUCAGCGUCAGUGAGACACACCGACCAAGCCCAGAGUGAGGACUUCACCAUCUAUGCAGCGGUGAAGCUAUAGGACAAUUCCACGAAUGCAGCGCCCACAGCGAGAAGUCCAGAACCGAUCAGCCCAAUGAACAUGAACAUGUGUCCCACUUCACCAUUAUGCAAGGAAACUCUUUGUGUACAGAUAGUUUUCCUGAGGACCGGAAGCUACUAGUGAAGUACUGCCUCACUCCUGCAGUUAAGUUUACAUCAUGAGCCAGGUGAACUAAUAUCUUGAAACAUAGGAGAAAGAGCGAGACUAUUCGCCACCCUAUCUUGCUGUUGGCGAAUUAUAUCAUGACUCUUCUGUAGCUAUUCAUUUCACUGUUUUUUUCUCCAAGUGAUCUAUGACAGUCCCUGCAUAACAAGGAAGGAGUCCCCAAUUUCUAAUUGGCGCUUCCUGAUAUUAUUCCUUAACUACCUCGCUCUAUUUUAAAAUCUAUAUAUUCUGCUUUCUGGCCUCUCUGAUCAAAGCAAAUGGUUUAACUGCCUCUGCUUAAUUAAAUUUGUUAAGCAUUGCAAACACCUUAACCUGAUGACCCAUCA